rnacentral:lncRNA from 1 species
UUCCAUGUAUGUAUAAAACCGGUACGAGCACUUUACACACAAAGUUUUGCAAACAUUUUCUGUUUCACGCACUUUCUCUCUCUUCACGUGUUGCACACGUGCUCCAGGGCGACCUUCCCUGACCGACCCAUUUCUGUUUUCUCCGUCGAGGAAGUAAUCCUCAGAAACCCUCCCAGCGCGUGCCAACUCCGAUAAGAGGAGUCAGUCAACGUCGAAGCGGUUGACACUUGCGCGCACGUGGCUGAAGGAGCGUGGGGAUGGGACAACCGGUGAGUGGCUUCUUCAAAUCCUGUUUUCG